GGUUAGUUUUACCCUACUGAUGAGUCGUUGUCGCGACAGUAAUCCAACUCAGUACGAGAGGAACCGUUGGUUCAGAUAAUUGGUUCAUGCGGUUGCCUGACAAGGCAGUGCCGCGAAGCUACCAUCUGUAGGAUUAUGACUGAACGCCUCUAAGUCAGAAUCCAUGCUGAAAAGCGACGAUACUUCACCUUUCCGGAUGUGGUGGAAUAUCGAUAGGCUCCGGCCCUAGAUCAUACAUUGGAGGGACACCCGCGCGGCCACAAACCGGCCGCGGCGGGACUGCUCUGAAUCACAACGCGAAAUAUCCGGGGAGAUAAAUCCAUUGCAGACGACUUUAUUGAAAUGGGGUAUUGUAAGUU
rnacentral:rRNA from 1 species